rnacentral:rRNA from 1 species
UGGGGAAUUUUGGACAAUGGGCGAAAGCCUGAUCCAGCCAUGCCGCGUGCGGGAAGAAGGCCUUCGGGUUGUAAACCGCUUUAGUCCGGGAAAAAGGGCUGACGUGCUAAUACCGCGUUGGUUUGAUGGUACUGGAAGAAUAAGCACCGGCUAACUACGUGCCAGCAGCCGCGGUAAUACGUAGGGUGCGAGCGUUAAUCGGAAUUACUGGGCGUAGAGCGUGCGCAGGCGGUCUUGUAAGACAGUCGUGAAAGCCCCGGGCUUAACCUGGGAACUGCGAUUGUGACCGCCGAGCUAGAGUAUGUUAGGAGGGCGUGGAAUUCCACGUGUGGCAGUGAAAUGCGUAGAGAGGUAGAGGAACAGCGAUGGCGAAGGCAGCCCCCAGGGAUAACACUGACGAUCAUGCACGAAAGCGUGGGAGCAAACA